rnacentral:rRNA from 1 species
GAUGAACGCUAGCGGCAGGCCUAACACAUGCAAGUCGAGGGGCAGCACAGAAAGUGGUAACACUUUUGGUGGCGACCGGCGGACGGGUGCGUAACGCGUAUGCAACCUACCUUUUACAGGGGGAUAACGGAGAGAAAUUUCCACUAAUACCCCAUAACAUCAGUCUCGGCAUCGGGAUUGGUUGAAAACUCCGGUGGUAAAAGAUGGGCAUGCGUUGUAUUAGAUAGUUGGUGAGGUAACGGCUCACCAAGUCAACGAUACAUAGGGGGAAUGGGAGGUUAGCCCCCCACACUGGUACUGAGACACGGACCAGACUCCGACGGGAGGCAGCAGUGAGGAAUAUUGGUCAAUGGGGGCAACCCUGAACCAGCCAUGCCGCGUGCAGGAAGACAGCUCUAUGAUGUUGUAAACUGCUUUUGUACAAGGGUAAACCACGGUAUGUAUACCGUGUUGAAGGUACUGUACGAAUAAGGAUCGGCUAACUCCGUGCCAGCCGCCGCCGUAAUAC